UACGUAGGGACCAAGCGUUGUUCGGAUUUACUGGGCGUAAAGGGCGCGUAGGCGGCGUGGUAAGUCAGCUGUGAAAUCUCCGAGCUCAACUCGGAACGGUCAGCUGAUACUGCUGUGCUAGAGUACAGAAAGGGCAAUCGGAAUUCUUGGUGUAGCGGUGAAAUGCGUAGAUAUCAAGAGGAACACCUGAGGCGAAGGCGGGUUGCUAGGCUGAUACUGACGCUGAGGCGCGAAAGCUAGGGUAGCAAACGGG
rnacentral:rRNA from 1 species